rnacentral:rRNA from 1 species
GCAACCACCCUGGACGCGCCCGAUCUCGUGUGAUCUCGGAAGCUAAGCAGGGUCGGGCCUGGUUAGUACUUGGAUGGGAGACUGCCCGGGAAAACGGGGUGCA